UCCCCUCAAUCAUCAUCAUCCCUGCCACUCUAGCUCCCAGGGCUGCCCUGACUGUCCCAGAGACUUUCCCCAAGUUUUCUUGGAUGCAGACCUACACAUGCAGCUAAGGGGCACCUGAGGAGGGUGUGAGGAGCAGAAGAUGCUCUAGAACCCAUGUUCCUUGGCUGUAAGGCUGACAGCCAGCACAGGGGGCACGGGAAGGGUCUCCUCAUCAUCCCAGUCUUUCCAGAAAAACCCUGCAGCAAGUUUGCAAACAGCAGAAUAACGGGGUCAAACCAGUCCUCCCAGAAAGCACAGCCCAGGAGAAGAACAGAUGUUUCAUCCAGUGAGCUUGUUUAUUUGUUUUGGGUUUUUCAAAUGAUUCUGUGAAGUUUUGGCCAGAGGUAAAUAGAGAUCUUGUGUUUCAUGGUAUUCUCGUCCACAUGGCAGGGCACAUUCACAAAAGAAAAAGUUCAACAGGCACAAGUGUGUUGAACUCUUUAGAGUUUUUUCACUCUAAAGAAUGUUAAUUUCAUAAAUAUUCUUUUCAUAAACAUUCUUUUCUUCUUUAAAGAUUGCAAUACCUCACUACACCUACUUUAUAGCAUUUAGUUGGGCUUUUUUUUUUUCCUGAAACUUCUUUCAGAAGAAUUCCAAGAACGACCAAAAAAAGAAACUGAUUAAAUGCUUUUUAUUUGGUUUCAAGAGGGUCUCUGAAGAAAUCUUAAACUUCUAGAAAGACCCAAUCAGCAAGACAGCAAACACAAACAAAUCAAUCUCAGUGUUACUCCCAAUAUUUUGCAGAUUCACCUACAUAAUGCCCCUUACAAAAUGCUCAACAUCAUAGCAUUCAAAGCUGAAAAUCCCCAAUAAAACUUGAAAACAGAAAAGGAAAAAGCAUCCCAUUUCCAAUCACCAGACAAACAGGAUGUUUUCUUUAUCAAGACACACUUAAUUCUCAGGCUCCUUGAAAUAGGGCAGAAAAGACAUAUCCAUGCCACUGCAGUCACAAUUUCUAGCCCAAGUGUAAGAUCUCCUUCAAAGCACUAAUUAAAGAAGACAUGAGAGCACUGAGUAAGAACACAAAAGUUAAGAGUGGCAACUCCAUUCUCAUCACAAGGAUCCAGACAGAGCAAGAGGAAGUAUGCCAAUACAAGUAUAAAAUCUGAAGAGAAACACUCUCCAAAGAGCCUCUCAUGUCAUUCACAACAUUCUUGUUGAUAAGGAAAAAAACCCACAAGAAAACAGCUGUUUGAAGGAAGAGCUUUCUAUUUCUAAGUGCUCCUGCUGGCUCUUUUAAAAGCCCAAGCCACCAUAACAGGAUUGCCUUUCCCCCAAUCUACCAGAAGACACACAUUGCGCAAGAAAGCCCAAGACUUUCAAAGACAAAGAAGCCAAACACUGUUUAAAGACCCGUCAGGCAUGCAGCAGGCUCGCUUCCUGCUGAGACGAGGCUUGGAGCUUGAGACGGACACGAUCCCGGAUCAGCCACACAUCAUAAAUAAGAUUUUCCUUGUUUGCCUUACACGACCAACGCCAAGAUCAGCACGGGGCAGUGCUGCGGGAUCCCCGCGGCUCCCAUGGAGGGAGAGCCGGGUGCCUCGCUCGGGGCUGCGUUUGCACAUCGCCCUCUUGGGAUAAUGGAAGAGACGCGGAGCCCGCGGCAGCCCCUGCCAGGCGCCAUCCCCGGGGCACUGCCACAUCCCUGUGGAUGUCGCCACCUCCGUGUCCCUCUGGAUCCCCAUCCCAGCACAUGCCCGACAGCCACACCGAGCGUGCGGGGGAGAAUUCCGUGCCGCUGUCCCGGGGUGCUCCGGUGCUCACUUCCACUCGGGAUUUGCACCGACAGAGGUUUUAAAUCGCUGUGCUUGCGAGAAUUCUCCUGAGUAACAGCGAGCCAACACACACAUUUCCUCGGAACUACCCUAGCUAUGCGUUUUACGCAAGCCAAAAUAUGGGGAUUCCAGCCAAAAAAACAAACAACAAAAACAUCGAAACUUGUGUCAUUUCCUUCCUGCGCUCGGGAAGCGGGAUGGAGCCAGGACAGUUUGGUCCUGGAGGAGAAGACACGACCGGCGGUUCCUGAGCGGCCGCCCGGGAGAAGCGGCAACGCCGAGGGAGCCUCGGGACCCCGCUCUGGGCAGCCGCGCCGAGGCCGCUGGUGCCUGCCUCAGACCGGUCCCUGAGCGCUCAUUAACCGGCGGCAAAAAUAAUCCCAGGCAAGGGGAAAUUGUGGUAUUUUGAGACUUGUGUUGCUGCCAAGCCGGGACAAGAUUGACAGUCCAUUGUUCUUAAAAAGUGGCAAGCUGCCAAAUAUUUCGGGUUCAAAAAGCUGGGCAUUGCUCAGGGCUUGACUGAGAAGGACAAGAACUGGAACAGAAUUCAGAGGAACAGAACUGGAAUUCCUGGCGUGUUCCCGCUCUCCCAGCGCUCCCCUGGGACAUCACCUCUGUUGGCAGCUACUUCAGCCCACUCACAGAGGCAGCACCUCAUCCAGCCCGCGCUCUGCAGAGCCCAGAAUAGCCCUCUGAGGAAAACAAAGCCAGAAGGAUUGCCCAGCACUUAAUAGGCACAACAGCAACAAAAAUAGGAACAAUUAUGGUGACUCUGCCAGGGCCUCAGCUUCCUAGAAAAUGAACAAGUCUCAAAGAAAAGAUUUCUAUAAAGAAAUGUCUGCGACAGAUGCCUAGGGUACUUCUCC